rnacentral:rRNA from 1 species
AACGAACGCUGGCGGCGCGCCUAAUACAUGCAAGUCGAGCGAGAAGACGUAGCAAUACGUUUGUAAAGCGGCGAACGGGUGAGGAAUACAUGGGUAACCUACCCUCGAGUGGGGAAUAACUAGCCGAAAGGUUAGCUAAUACCGCGUACGCUCCUUGGACUUCGGUUCAGGGAGGAAAGCGAUACCGUGGGUAUCGCGCUCUUGGAUGGGCUCAUGUCCUAUCAGCUUGUUGGUGAGGUAACGGCUCACCAAGGCUUCGACGGUAGCUGGUCUGAGAGGACGAUCAGCCACACUGGCACUGCGACACGGGCCAGACUCCUACGGGAGGCAGCAGUAAGGAAUAUUGCGCAAUGGGCGAAAGCCUGACGCAGCGACGCCGCGUGGGGGAUGAAGGUCUUCGGAUUGUAAA